UACGUAGGGUCCGAGCGUUGUCCGGAAUUACUGGGCGUAAAGAGCUCGUAGGUGGUUUGUCGCGUUGUUCGUGAAAACUUACAGCUCAACUGUGGGCGUGCGGGCGAUACGGGCAGACUUGAGUACUGCAGGGGAGACUGGAAUUCCUGGUGUAGCGGUGGAAUGCGCAGAUAUCAGGAGGAACACCGGUGGCGAAGGCGGGUCUCUGGGCAGUAACUGACGCUGAGGAGCGAAAGCGUGGGGAGCGAACAGG
rnacentral:rRNA from 1 species